rnacentral:rRNA from 1 species
AACGCUAGCUACAGGCUUAACACAUGCAAGUCGAGGGGAAACGACAUCGAAAGCUUGCUUUUGAUGGGCGUCGACCGGCGCACGGGUGAGUAACGCGUAUCCAACCUGCCCAUCACUUGGGGAUAACCUUGCGAAAGUAAGACUAAUACCCAAUGAUAUCUCUAGAAGACAUCUGAAAGGGAUUAAAGAUUUAUCGGUGAUGGAUGGGGAUGCGUCUGAUUAGCUUGUUGGCGGGGUAACGGCCCACCAAGGCGACGAUCAGUAGGGGUUCUGAGAGGAAGGUCCCCCACAUUGGAACUGAGACACGGUCCAAACUCCUACGGGAGGCAGCAGUGAGGAAUAUUGGUCAAUGGGCGAGAGCCUGAACCAGCCAAGUAGCGUGCAGGAUGACGGCCCUAUGGGUUGUAAACUUCUUUUAUAAAGGAAUAAAGUAGUCCACGUGUGGAUUUUUGUAUGUACUUUAUGAAUAAGGAUCGGCUAACUCCGUGCCAGCAGCCGCGGUAAUACGGAGGAUCCAAGCGUUAUCCGGAUUUAUUGGGUUUAAAGGGAGCGUAGAUGGAUUUUUAAGUCAGUUGUGAAAGUUCGGGGCUCAACCCCGUAAUUGCAGUUGAUACUGGAUAUCUUGAGUACAGUUGAGGUAGGCGGAAUUCGUGGUGUAGCGGUGAAAUGCUUAGAUAUCACGAAGAACUCCGAUUG